UACGUAGGGAGCAAGCGUUGUCCGGAAUCAUUGGGCGUAAAGCGCGCGUAGGUGGCCUCGUAAGUCCGCUGUGAAAGUCAAAGGCUCAACCUUUGAAAGCCGGUGGAUACUGUGAGGCUAGAGUACGGGAGAGGCGAGUGGAAUUCCUGGUGUAGCGGUGGAAUGCGCAGAUAUCAGGAGGAACACCAAUAGCGAAGGCAGCUCGCUGGGACGUUACUGACGCUGAGGCGCGAAAGCGUGGGGAGCGAACAGG
rnacentral:rRNA from 1 species